UACAGAGGUCUCAAGCGUUGUUCGGAUUCAUUGGGCGUAAAGGGUGCGUAGGCGGCGCGGUAAGUCGGGUGUGAAAUCUUGGAGCUUAACUCCGAAACUGCAUUCGAUACUGCCGUGCUUGAGGACUGGAGAGGAGACUGGAAUUUACGGUGUAGCGGUGAAAUGCGUAGAUAUCGUAAGGAAGACCAGUGGCGAAGGCGGGUCGUCUGGACAGU
rnacentral:rRNA from 1 species